CGGGCAUCCUCGCUCACUGUUAAGUAGCUGCUUUUUUCUCUCUGCGGUAUCCCCAGAGAGAUUCUGAAGUGACUCGCAGUGAUUUCUGGGAUGGGUGCCAUUCCUUACACGCCUGUCGCUGUUCGUUGAACGGCACCGCAAGAAGCAGAGCGCCCGAGCACCGCGCGGCACCGAUCCGCAGACCUCCAGGAGACAACGAGCGCUUCCGGACCGGCCCGGGGCGCUGCGCGGUGCCGCCGCCGGCUGGCAACGCUCCGCGGCGCGAUGCGGGACGCCCGGUACUGGCGGCCCCCGAGGGGCGCGGCGCGUCCCCACAUGCCCACACAGCCUGGUGUAGCACUCGGUGUAGCAGCCGCGGUCCCACAGCUCCUCCGGGGCCCGAGUCUAGAGCCGGCCCGCCUCGGCCCGGCCGCCGCCCGUCGCUCCCGUCCCCG
ensembl:lncRNA